CCUACGGGAGACUGCAGUAGGGAAUAUUGCUCAAUGGGGGAAACCCUGAAGCAGCAACGCCGCGUGGAGGAUGAAGGUUUUCGGAUUGUAAACUCCUUUUGUUAGAGAAGAGAAUGACGGUAUCUAACGAAUAAGCACCGGCUAACUCCGUGCCAGCAGCCGCGGUAAUACGGAGGGUGCAAGCGUUACUCGGAAUCACUGGGCGUAAAGAGCGCGUAGGCGGGAUAGCAAGACAGUUGUGAAAUCCUAUGGCUUAACCAUAGAACUGAAGUUGAAACUGUUAUUCUAGAGUAUGGGAGAGGUCCGUGCAAUUCUUCGUGUCGUCGUCCAGUCCGUCGAGAUCCAGAGUCAUACUCCUUGCUACGUCGACCUGCUAGAACCUACCUGCCGCUGAUGCGCGCACGCGUGCGCAGCCCACCGGAUUCUAUACCCGGC
rnacentral:rRNA from 1 species